CUUUUAAUUAGAAAACCCAGGGCAGCAGGAGAAGCAGAAUUCGCUGGCAGUUGAAGUUUUCUAGAAAAGAGAAAGAGAGAGAAAGAGGAGGAGGCGAAGGGAGAGAGCGAGAGAAAAGGAGCACACUAUUACUAAUACUUGCUUGCCUGUCUCGGUCCUCUCCAUCUCCUCCUGUUACUAUGGCAACACCUCAACA